AGCCGAUGACGACGAAGUGAAAGACGAUGAACUUUGCUUAAACGGUCUUACAAAGUUGGAAGAUGAUUUUCGAGCUGGCGGGUCCGUCAACGGCCGUUCCAGGCAGAGGAGAAGGCUUGAUUGUGCCAAAGACUCCAGACAUCGAAUCCUUGCUCCGAGGGGAAAUCAUCGAAAACGACGGUGAAUGUCCGACAGGCACCCGCUAUUGGUAGCACUGGACAAGUCGGAUAUCCUUGCUUGGAUCCUUUUAAAGUUGCCCGAUAAACUGCUGAGAGUUGAUCUCUCCUCUUGUCCAAAGGUUUUUCGUUCAUUUUUACUUGUAAUACUGGCACUAGGGUUGAUGUAGUAGCUCCACAACAUAACCUUAAAGCCUGUGACUGGAUCCGGUCUAUUUUCCCAAGUCAUGUUUUUGAAGCAGAUUGGUAAAUAAUGCAUCCGUAAUCAAUAACAGAUGGAAUUAAAGUUAUAAAUAUAUACAUGUAUUGUUUUCAACGUUAACCUAUCAGCCCCCCAAUCAUUACCCCUCAAAGACCUCAUUAUAUUUAACACCUUUUUACUUUUUCCCCUAUUUUUUUAUUUUCCGGAAGGAACACUCCUGAAGGAAUAAAUAAAGUACUAUCUAAUCUAAUCUAAUCAAAUCUAUUUUGCUGAUGUGGGUUGACUAGUUCAUAUUUUUAUCAAACCAUAUUCCUAAAUAUUUAAAUACUUGUACCUCUUCUAUAUUUUCACCUUAGAGUUUUUAUUUGGAGCUUGUUUUGUACUUUUGUCUUUGUAAAAUGUAUGACUUUUGUCUUUCCAACAGAGAAUCUUAAACCUCAAGCCGUUCCCCAGUCUUGAACAUUAUUUACCACUUUGUUAGUUUUUUGAUUAUUUCUUUUGACUCUAAAUAAUAUACUAGUCUUUCAUUAAUCUUUUUUUUUUUCCAUUACUUUUCCCCAAAUUUAUAAUUUCCUGCCUCUUCUGGGUCUUACCCUGACUUGCAUAUUGGAAUUGUUACCGCUAAUUUUCCCCUCUGCCGGUCAUUCUCCUUCUUCAUAUAUCCUGUCAUAUCAUUUCAAGACCACUUCUUUGACGAUGCCACCUAAGUUUUUGAUCAUUUGAUAACCCGCUAGGUCUUUCCCCGGUGACGUAUUUUUAACCUUUUUCAAAAUUCGAACCAUUUCAUUCAAAGAAAAUGUCAUAUCCAUAGUGUUGGUAAAGCUAUUAACGUUGUCUUCCAUCAUUUCCCCAAUAUUUAAACUCAUUGUUUUUUCUCUCUUUUGUUUUUCCACAUUUCUCAAAUUAUCAUUACUGUGCACUUUAACACAUUUUUUUUGCUAAAGGUUCUGCUGUUUCUUUACC